UACGUAGGGUGCAAGCGUUAAUCGGAAUUACUGGGCGUAAAGCGUGCGCAGGCGGUUAUGUAAGACAGAUGUGAAAUGCCCGGGCUUACCUGGGAACUGCAUUUGUGACUGCAUGGCUAGAAUCUGGCAGAGGGGGGUAGAAUUCCACGUGUAGCAGUGAAAUGCGUAGAGAUCGGGAGGAACACCCGUGGCGAAGGCGGCCAGCUGGGCCGACCCUGACGCUGAGGCGCGAAGGCGUGGGGAGCGAACGGG
rnacentral:rRNA from 1 species